AGCGAACGCUGGCGGCAGGCCUAAUACAUGCAAGUCGAGCGGGUGUAGCAAUACACCAGCGGCAGACGGGAGAGUAACACGUGGGAACGUGCCCUUCAGUUCGGAACAACCCAGGGAAACUUGGGCUAAUACCGGAUACGUCCGUAAGGAGAAAGAUUUAUGCGCUGAAGGAUCGGCCCGCGUCUGAUUAGCUUGUUGGUGAGGUAAUGGCUCACCAAGGCGACGAUCAGUAGCUGGUCUGAGAGGAUGAUCAGCCUCACUGGGACUGAGACACGGCCCAGACUCCUACGGGAGGCAGCAGUAGGGAAUAUUGGACAAUGGGCGCAAGCCUGAUCCAGCCAUGCCGCGUGGGUGAUGAAGGCCCUAGGGUUGUAAAGCCCUUUCGGCGGGGAAGAUAAUGACGGUACCCGCAGAAGAAGCCCCGGCUAACUUCGUGCCAGCCGCCGCCGUAAGAC
rnacentral:rRNA from 1 species